UUCUGUGCCUUCAGGACCCAAACGUUGAAAAGCCAUGACUGAGAACCACCUUAGACUGGAAACGAACGGAGCUCAACUCUGCUGAGCAGCUAAAGGCAGUGUGCAGGGCCAGCCCUAGGCCGACAGCCUCUACUUUUAUGGCCUGAAAACAAGAAGGACAACUGGAAAAGUGGGAAGUUUGAAAUUCAGGAAUCAGAGUCGAUGGCAGGAUCACAGAAGUCUCUUCUCUUAUUUCCCUGUGUGACUCUCGGGAUGGAGCACAAAAGAGCAAAGCUUGAAAGGGUGGAUUGCCUGAGGAAUCACCUUCAACCUUGCCACCAUCAAUCAGAAGGAAACCAUAGCACCCACCCCCAGAGCCCUGGCUAGGUGAAGAUUUAUAAGAUCAAUCUAGCCUUCCUCAACAAGCAGAAUGUGCUCCUGUGGCUUCGCACUUCCCCACAGCCUCUGCAGAGACACCCAGAGAAGGAGGCAUUGGCAUCAAGAUCAUUACGGAAUUAUGAGACCCAUCGAAACAUCAUUAGGGCCACUGUGGAGAAAUCAAUCUUCCCUGGCUAGAACUGGAUUGCAUAGCCAUAGGACCCCACUUCAUUCUCCUAAUGCCUGCUCCUCAGGAACUAGCAGGGUGCUGUGCCCUGAUCUUGAACCCUAAACGCUAUCUUCUUAGUGCCUGCCGCUGGAGAACCACUGUGACACUUGCUAAAAUAAAAGGGGAUUCAUUGAC